UGGUUUUGCCACAUAUUUUAAUUAUCACAAUAUAUCUGAAAUUUAAUAGAUUCAGUACAUUUAAUUUAAUAAUUUAAUUAAAAAUUUGGAUUGAUUAGAAAUUCGUCUUUUCAAAUAUUCUAUUCAAUUUUCAAUAUAAAAUCUAUGCAAAAAUAUGAUUGAAAAUUGAUGACUCUAUCCUUGAGGGUUGAUAAAGAAAAGUAUCAUACUCGUAACUCAUGAAAAGGAAUAUCAGUGCAAAUAGCUAUAAUUAUACUUGCGUAUGAAGGGAAGUAUCAAGGAUUGAAUUGGCAAGCAACUGUUGGCGUUGGAUCAAGAAGUUUUUUAAGCAAACGCAAGGAAAGAG